rnacentral:rRNA from 1 species
UGAGGAAUAUUGGUCAAUGGGCGAGAGCCUGAACCAGCCAAGUAGCGUGCAGGAUGACGGCCCUAUGGGUUGUAAACUGCUUUUAUGCGGGGAUAAAGUGAGGGACGUGUCCCGUUUUGUAUGUACCGUAUGAAUAAGGACCGGCUAAUUCCGUG